rnacentral:rRNA from 1 species
UUAAGUCGACCGCCUGGGGAGUACGGCCGCAAGGUUAAAACUCAAAUGAAUUGACGGGGGCCCGCACAAGCGGUGGAGCAUGUGGUUUAAUUCGAUGCAACGCGAAGAACCUUACCUGGCCUUGACAUCCAGAGAACUUAGCAGAGAUGCUUUGGUGCCCUCGGGAACUCUGAGACAGGUGCUGCAUGGCUGUCGUCAGCUCGUGUUGUGAAAUGUUGGGUUAAGUCCCGCAACGAGCGCAACCCUUAUCCUUUGUUGCCAGCGGUUCGGCCGGGAACUCAAAGGAGACUGCCGGUGAUAAACCGGAGGAAGGUGGGGAUGACGUCAAGUCAUCAUGGCCCUUACGGCCAGGGCUACACACGUGCUACAAUGGCGCAUACAAAGAGAAGCGACCUCGCGAGAGCAAGCGGACCUCAUAAAGUGCGUCGUAGUCCGGAUUGGAGUCUGCAACUCGACUCCAUGAAGUCGGAAUCGCUAGUAAUCGUAGAUCAGAAUGCUACGGUGAAUACGUUCCCGGGCCUUGUACACACCGCCCGUCACACCAUGGGAGUGGGUUGCAAAAGAAGUAGGUAGCUUAACCUCCGGGAGGGCGCUUACCACUUUGUGAUUCAUGACUGGGGUGAAGUCGUAACAAGGUAACCAAGGGCGAAUUCCAG